rnacentral:rRNA from 1 species
UACAGGGGGGCAAGCGUUGUUCGGAAUUACUGGGCGUAAAGGGCUCGUAGGUGGCCAACUAAGUCAGACGUGAAAUCCCUCAGCUUAACUGGGGAACUGCGUCUGAUACUGGAUGGCUUGAGUUUGGGAGAGGGAUGCGGAAUUCCAGGUGUAGCGGUGAAAUGCGUAGAUAUCUGGAGGAACACCGGUGGCGAAGGCGGCAUCCUGGACCAACACUGACACUGAGGAGCGAAAGCUAGGGGAGCAAACGGG